AAUGGGUUCCUCCCUCAGCAGAUAAAACCAGCCCUGCCAUCACCCUGCAGCUCUGGCAAGGAGCCCAGCCCCAGGAUCCCGUUCUGUGAUCCGGAAAGAACACAGACCACCCGCCAUGGAGUUUCGGCUGAACUGGGUGGUCUUGUUUGCUCUCUUACAAGGUGUCCAGGGUGAGGAGAAGCUGGUGGAGUCUGGAGGAGGCCUGGUGCAGCCUGGGGGGUCUCUGAGACUCUCCUGUGUCGGCUCUGGAAUCACCUUCAGUAGUUAUGCAGUGAGCUGGGUCCGCCAGGCUCCAGGGAAGGGGCUGGAGUGGCUGGCAGGUAUUGAUAGUGGUAGUUAUAGUGGUAGCACCUACUACGCAGACUCUGUGAAGGGCCGAUUCACCAUCUCCAGAGACGACUCCCAGAACACGGCCUAUCUGCAAAUGACCAGCCUGAGAACAGAAGACACGGCCCGCUAUUACUGUGCAGGAUGCACAGUGAGGGGAAGGGAGUCUGAGCCCAGACAAAAACCUCCCUUCAGGGACACAGGUUCUGGGCUACAGGGGGUGCUCAGGACCAACAACCACUAUGUGUGUGCUUCAUGCCCAGGAGCAGCCCUGGCAGAGGAGCCCCUGCCCCAGCAGGCCCAGCUGCUCCCACUGUGUGAUCAGGCCUGA